GACGAACGCUGGCGGCGUGCUUAACACAUGCAAGUCGAACGGAAAGGCCCUGCUUGCAGGGUGCUCGAGUGGCGAACGGGUGAGUAACACGCGGGUGAUCUGCCCCUUACUUUGGGAUAAGCCUGGGAAACUGGGUCUAAUACUGGAUAGGACCAUGCUGUAGGUGGUGUGGUGGAAAGAUUAGUUUCGGUAAGGGUUGAGCUCGCGGCCUAUCAGCUUGUUGGUGGGGUAAUGGCCUACCAAGGCGUCGACGGGUAGCCGGCCUGAGCGGGUGGGCGGCCACAUUGGGACUGAGAUACGGCCCAGACGCCUACGGGAGGCAGCAGAGGGGAAUAUUGGAAAAUGGGCGCAAGCCUGAUGCAGCGACGCCGCGUGGGGGAUGACGGCCUUCGGGUUGUAGACUCCUUUCAGCCAUGACGAAGCCCUUGUGGUGACGGUAGUGGGAGAAGAAGCACCGGCUAACUACGUG
rnacentral:rRNA from 1 species